GAUGAACGCUGGCGGCGUGCCUAAUACAUGCAAGUCGAGCGAACGGACGAGAAGCUUGCUUCUCUGAUGUUAGCGGCGGACGGGUGAGUAACACGUGGAUAACCUACCUAUAAGACUGGGAUAACUUCGGGAAACCGGAGCUAAUACCGGAUAACAUUUUGAACCGCAUGGUUCAAAAGUGAAAGACGGUCUUCUGUCACUUAUAGAUGGAUCCGCGCUGCAUUAGCUAGUUGGUAAGGUAACGGCUUACCAAGGCAACGAUGCAUAGCCGACCUGAGAGGGUGAUCGGCCACACUGGAACUGAGACACGGUCCAGACUCCUACGGGAGGCAGCAGUAGGGAAUCUUCCGCAAGGGGCGAAAGCCUGACGGAGCAACGCCGCGUGAGUGAUGAAGGUCUUCGGAUCGUAAAACUCUGUUAUUAGGGAAGAACAGAUGUGUAAGUAACUGUGCACAUCUUGACGGUACCUAAUCAGAAAGCCACGGCUAACUACGUG
rnacentral:rRNA from 1 species